rnacentral:lncRNA from 1 species
AUGGAAGUCGUCCACCUCAUUUCUGCAAGAGCAGUGGUUCUGUUGCACGUCACAUUCUUCAACAAUUGCAGAACAUGAACAUCAUCGAUGUUGAUCCUAAGGGGUGAAUUAUUUUCUUAAUGCCUUAUGUUAUCAUGUUUUCAAACUAUAGUUUCUUUAGCAUAGUUCAAAUUUCAAUAUGUUCUGCAAUGAAAUCCUGCUUUGUUGCUCACUUUAUCAUUUAACAAUUGAACUAGAUUGAUAAUUAUAAUACUUCUGAUACAAAAAGGAGUUUCCUAUAUUCUGAUGUGUUUAUUUUUGCUUAUGUAAUAGUGGGAGGAGAAUCACUUCAAGCGGUCAACGGGAUCUUGACCAAGUUGCUGGACGCAUUGUGGUGGCCCCUUGAACAAUCAGUGUUGAGCUAUGUUUCUGCUUUCGUACUUUUAGAUUUCAAUUUGCAGUCCUGUGGAGAGAUGUGACUGCAGCAACAAGAUUAUAUGUUAUGAAAUUUUUGGAUCCAACUGUUGAAUGUUUUGUAUUUGGACGUGGUUUUUGUUCU